rnacentral:rRNA from 1 species
AGCCGGGGCUUCUUCUACGGUUACCGUCAUUAUCUUCACCGUUGAAAGAGCUUUACAACCCUAGGGCCGUCAUCACUCACGCGGCAUGGCUGGAUCAGGCUUGCGCCCAUUGUCCAAUAUUCCC